rnacentral:rRNA from 1 species
GUGCGAAAGCAGGUCAUAGUGAUCCGGUGGUUCUGAAUGGAAGGGCCAUCGCUCAACGGAUAAAAGGUACUCCGGGGAUAACAGGCUGAUACCGCCCAAGAGUUCAUAUCGACGGCGGUGUUUGGCACCUCGAUGUCGGCUCAUCACAUCCUGGGGCUGAAGUAGGUCCCAAGGGUAUGGCUGUUCGCCAUUUAAAGUGGUACGCGAGCUGGGUUUAGAACGUCGUGAGACAGUUCGGUCCCUAUCUGCCGUGGGCGCUGGAGAACUGAGGGGGGCUGCUCCUAGUACGAGAGGACCGGAGUGGACGCAUCACUGGUGUUCGGGUUGUCAUGCCAAUGGCACUGCCCGGUAGCUAAAUGCGGAAGAGAUAAGUGCUGAAAGCAUCUAAGCACGAAACUUGCCCCGAG